AGCGAACGCUGGCGGCAGGCUUAACACAUGCAAGUCGAACGGGCACUUCGGUGUCAGUGGCAGACGGGUGAGUAACACGUGGGAACGUACCUUUUGGUUCGGAACAACUGAGGGAAACUUCAGCUAAUACCGGAUAAGCCCUUACGGGGGAAGAUUUAUCGCCGAAAGAUCGGCCCGCGUCUGAUUAGCUAGUUGGUAGGGUAAUGGCCUACCAAGGCGACGAUCAGUAGCUGGGAUGAGGGGAUGACCAGCAACAUUGGGACUGAGACACGGGCCAAACUACUACGGGAGGCAGCAGUGGGGAAUAUUGGACAAUGGGGGCAACCCUGAUCCAGCCAUGCCGCGUGAGUGAUGAAGGCCCUAGGGUUGUAAAGCUCUUUUGUGCGGGAAGAUAAUGACGGUACCGCAAGAAUAAGCCCCGGCUAACUUCGUGCCAGCCGCCGCAGUA
rnacentral:rRNA from 1 species